rnacentral:lncRNA from 1 species
AAGUACAUAAUUCUGGGGAAUCGAUUUAGUUUUGUGUAGUUGGUUACGACUUCUGAAUAUUGUUAUACAUAUGUACUUAAAUUAUAGGUGCUUGGCUUAAGGCUGUCAUGCAUGAUGCAUUCAACUACAACGAAAAAAUUGAUUUAAUGGUAACACAAUUUCUAUUCAAGGUGUAAGGGCUUGGUUUUCCUUAAAGUUUGAUUUUGGUUUUGGUUAUGCAUUUCAUAAUCUAUGUAGUUUUGACAUCAAACACUUAUUGAUUGCUGCAAUUGGUAAGAAAGCCCCUUAAACUGAAAUUCAAUUGGUGUGGUUGGAUUAAACUUGGUUUUAUUUUAAGUUUGGGUGCUCUGGGAUUGCAGGCCUAUGGCUUUGACUAAUUUGUUUGGCCAUGAGGAUAUAGUUCAAGCUUGUUUCUAGUUUCAGCCAAGUGUUUAGGAAGCCCCUUCUGUCUAAAGCAAUAAAUAAUUAACUGUCAACUGCCGAAGUGAAUUGUUGAAGGUGGAGGAGAUCAAUCUUCAUCAGGGUUAGAACAAAUGUAUUGACUGGAAGUUCUUGACAUUGAAGAAAGUUCUUUAGAGAUA